UAUAUAAGGAAAUAAUCGAAUAUACUAACUUGAUAACCACCUCCUCGCCGCUCUGUAUUUUCAUGCCUGCAACCAACUUAAUUGACCUUAUCAUAAAUAACUGAAACCGGAUCAGGCAACACACCAGCUGGAGCAAUGCACAGCAUGAACUCAGAAAAAAUAGCGUCACCAUGCAGAUAAAACAGGAGAACCUGAAAUGAUAUGCUAUAUCUGCGAAAGGAAUAACGGGAGAUAGCCACUUGAGCCUGCCUGAACAGAACAACAGUUUCCUUAACUUAAACCGGAUAUCGAGGGGGAGAGGAGACCAACCCUUACUUGGGAAGGGAAGUAAGAAGAGAUCUCGGUAGUGAAAUGAUAGGAAAUAUGCAAAAAUUGCUAGGUUUUGGCCCUACUGAGGAGCGAAAAUUCAGAAAAGAAAGGAAAUAUGCCAUGCAUAAAAGCCUAUCAUCAAAGUUGGGCCAUAUUCCAAUAAGAAAAUAAAGGGAGGUGAUCCAAAACAACAAGGGAAAGUAGUGAUGAGCUAUAUUGGAAUCCAAUCAGAACUCAGGAAUUGUGGGUUGGCCAAGGAAUCUAUAUGGAAAUCUAGAUUCAAUAAAUUCUCUAUUCCAACCAGAAAAAAAACAAUAACAAGGAGAUAAUCCUACUUGAAUUCCAGAAGAUACAGUUUAACGAAUGCAAUGCAAGCAAGGGAAAGCAAAACAAAAAAAUAUGUCAAUCGAUCAUACUCCAAGCAUCAACAGCCUUUAGUGCUUCCAGAAAAUCCGUAAAAAGAGCAACAACAGGUUUACUAAAGGCGUGCAG
rnacentral:lncRNA from 1 species